GUGGGUUCGGGAGUGCGAGGUCUUUGGGCCACCUCCCAUCCGUGUCUAUUAUACCCUGUUGCUUCGGCGGGCCCGCGCUUGUCGGCCGCCGGCGCCUUUGCCCGGGCCCGUGCCCGCCGGAGACCCCAACACGAACACUGUCUGAAAGCGUGCAGUCUGAGUUGAUUGAAUGCAAUCAGUUAAACUUUCAACAAUGGAUCUCUUGGUUCCGGCAUCGUGAAGAACGCAGCGAAAUGCGAUAACUAAUGUGAAUUGCAGAAUUCAGUGAAUCAUCGAGUCUUUGAACGCACAUUGCGCCCCCUGGUAUUCCGGCAUGCCUGUCCGAGCGUCAUUGCUGCCCUCAAGCCCGGCUUGUGUGUUGGGUCGCCGUCCCCCUCUCCGGGGGGACGGGCCCGAAAGGCAGCGGCACCGCGUCCGAUCCUCGAGCGUAUGGGGUUUGUCACAUGCUCUGUAGGAUUGGCCGGCGCCUGCCGACGUUUCCAACCAUUUCCAGGUUGACCUCGGAUCAGGUAGGGAUACCCGCUGAACUUAAGCAUAUCAUAAGCCCGGAGGAAACGCCGCUUGCCUUCUUCCGGCAAAGGAGGCCGACAGUCAGCUCAACCUAAUUACGUGCAUUAACAGACCGUGCACACUUCCGCUGCUAACCAAAGACAUAACCCCCUCCAUGUCUAAUCUAAGUCCAUACAACAUAUUAAGAAACACAUCUCCAAGAGACUAACCUCCACUGUACUGGAUCCUUCACCUGAACACGCUCCGUCACCCUCACCAUGGCAUACCCAAACACUCAUUACUAUUACCCUAGCCAUUACCCUUAACCCUAAAACCUAAUCAAUUACCUACUUACUAUGUCAUUCCUUCCGGCACCCCAUUCCACACGCCUCACAUCCUACCCACCACCUCCCGAUCCCGCUCCCUAGACAAAAACCACCUAACCUCGAAAGCUCCAAGAAACGCCCUAAACUAUCUUUACCUUACUCCACCCCUACCACAUAACCCUUCGGAAACCUUCUAAUUGCUUCUAAACUGUCCUCCAAUCCU
rnacentral:sRNA from 1 species